AUUGAACGCUGGCGGAAGGCUUAACACAUGCAAGUCGAGCGGGGGAAGGUAGCUUGCUACCGGACCUAGCGGCGGACGGGUGAGUAAUGCUUAGGAAUCUGCCUAUUAGUGGGGGACAACAUCUCGAAAGGGAUGCUAAUACCGCAUACGUCCUACGGGAGAAAGCAGGGGAUCUUCGGACCUUGCGCUAAUAGAUGAGCCUAAGUCGGAUUAGCUAGUUGGUGGGGUAAAGGCCUACCGAGGCGACGAUCUGUAGCGGGUCUGAGAGGAUGAUCCGCCACACUGGGACUGAGACACGGCCGAGACUCCUACGGGAGGCAGCAGUGGGGAAUAUUGGACAAUGGGCGGAAUCCUGAUCCAGCCAUGCCGCGUGCGUGAAGAAGGCCUUAUGGUUGUAAAGCACUUUAAGCGAGGAGGAGGCUACUUUAGUUAAUACCUAGAGAUAGUGGACGUUACUCGCAGAAUAAGCACCGGCUAACUCUGUGCCAGCCGCCGCGGUAA
rnacentral:rRNA from 1 species